UUUUCUCCCCCCCCCAGAAUUGAGGUGAUCUGCGAGUUAAACCAGCAACUCAGACCAGGGUUUGAGUUGUGGUGUGAGAAAAUGGCCCUCACAGCCACCGUAGUGAUGCUGCCAAAUCGUACUACAGUGCAAACUGCUGGGUUAAGAAGAAAUGAAAGGAUAUGCGCCGGCUGAACAUCUUCCUGCAGUUUCCAUGAUGGAGAUGUACGAUUGUCUGUGCUGAAAAGACCUCGUCUAACUGGUAUGUGUGAUCUAAUUGGAUAGUUUUAAGCAGAACAGCUGCUAUGGAAACCUUUCAGGUUGGCAUUUUGGCUACAUUCACACUGCAGGCCUUAAUUAUCAG